UGAAACAUGAAACGUGAAAACUUAAUUAAACGCCUAUUUCUACAUAUACAAUAUGUAUUCAAUGGCGUUGUACAUAAAUGACAUAUAAACUACAAAAAUACUAUACAAAAAUACAAUAUGUAUGUACUAUACCAAAAAUUGAAAAUAUACACUUUGAUACACAAGAAAAAAGUCAGAAAAGUUCAAAAUAAUUUUCGAAAUACAAUGUUUUCAACCGACAUUUAAAAGUAUCCAAAGAUUCAGAGUUUUUUAC
rnacentral:lncRNA from 1 species